GAAUCAAAGUCGACUCCAGAGUCAGUAUGAGCAGACGUCAGCGCGCACGUUUGUUUCCAUGGCAACCAAACAUGCCUUUAGACGCCGUUAAGGAAGAAAGGUCGAUUUUGUGUCGACAAUAUGUGUAUAUGUAUAUAAGCAAGUUUAACAGAAUAAUUAGGAAUGAGAAAGAAACCGAAAGAUUUGAUGGCGUUUAAAGGGAACACCAUGUUUGAAAGUGCUAAAGACAAGAGUUUUAUGAAAUCACUGAAAGAAUUUAUAGAAAGUGAGAAGGUGCAGUUGUCCUGUCUUAAUGAGGGACCUGAUGAGCAAAGAUACACCAUUUACAGCACAGCUUUCCACAAGAUAAUCGACUACAGUACGGCGUACAAACCGAUUCUCACGGCCAUCAAGAAAGAAUACGAUGACUUCAUUACCUCGCUGAAGAACAAUCAGCAUCAGGCUCAGCUUGCUCAUGGAAAAAUGAAGACCCAGCUCACUCAACCCACCUCCAUAAUGUACUACCAGAGAAGAGCUGCUCAGCUGCAGGAGAAGAUUGCAACCAUCCGGCGAAACACAGCUGACUUGAAAACAGACAUAACAAGGCUUCGGGGAGGCCAAAAUAAACAAGAAGAUUCGCAGCAAGUGGAAACAUCAGAGGUCACAGUUCACAUUGGUCAGACACCAGGUCUUACACUAAGUGAGUCGUUAAACCUGGAAUGCCUGGAUAAACAUCUGGAGUCUUUGGAGCAAAAGCGAAACAAACUUUUGAUAAAGAAAACAAGCGAGUAUGUUCCAGUGAGGGUCAAACUCGAUCUGGACUGGAAAAUGAAAAUCAUAUUGAGCCAAAGAGAUGAACUUUCUGCAGAAAACGACAAACUGCUUCUCUGGAAUAAACAGCUGACAUACCUCAAGGAAGCUCUCGGACGCUGGGAAAAUUCAGGACGACGCACUACUCUACCCAAGCUCCUGUCCUCUGAAUUAAAGCAUGUUUCAAGAAUGAGAGAACUUGAAAACGACCAAACGGGCUUCCAGACCAGCGCUCUAGAACCGGACGAUCCGGGGAAGAUCAAGGAAUCGACACGUCUGGCGUUUUACGUUGAAAGAUUUAUAGAGCUGUUCGAAGCGGCCGACUACGAGACGGCGGCUUUCCAGGCCUCCAUUUCCCCUUACGGAGUGCUGAGGAACAUCGGGGUCAUGGAGAAAUUCAAAAAUAUCACAGUCCACAAGGGGGCCGUUCCUCCUCUGCUGCUCUUCUUUCGGUCUUUGAUGAACUCAGCACCAGCUGGAAAACCGCUCCCGGAGAAGAUGUCUAAGGAGGGGGUCCGUUUUGCCCUGCGGCACGGCCACGUCGAGUUGGUGAUGUUCGGAGUCUCUCAGCACAGAUUGACGUUCAGUGAGGAAUUAGGUGAUCUGAUCUGCAGCUACGCGACCGGUCACCUACGCACCGUGGACACCUGCCUGGCCCUGGCGCAGAUCGUUUACACGGCCUGCGGCGUGCUCAGGAAAGCCGCACUGAGCAUGUGCAGACGAGGCCUCACCGGCGGCGCUUUACAAUUCAUUUACAACCACAAAGAAUUCACAAUCGAUGACGUGGUAUUUGUGCUGAAGGAGCUUCCCAGUGUGGCGCUGCUGCAGGACCUCACUCGGCCUUGCAACAGCGUUCCUGCGCUCAUGUCUGUCGGGUUUAUCCUUCAUUAUCUUCUCGACUCUGAGCUGGAGGAUCUGGGGUUCCAGUUGCUGGAGCAGAUUCAAGCAAGUGGACAAGGUGCGUUCCAGAACACCAUCCUGGACGACGAGAUGUGCAGUGCCGAGGGCUGGAGCGAAAUCGCCGGUCGCUGUGAGCAGACCGGGCGUGUGGACCUGGCACAGGAGAUCAUGUCCACGCUGCUGCUCCACGACGGCGCCAUGCUCCUCUCUCCAGGCCACGACAGUGCCCAGCUCAUGCAGCACGUCUUUAUGUAGCCACCAGGUGGCGCCGCAGGCGAGAGAAAAGGGCAGCUUUGUGAUCUCCUCCACUGCACACUGAGCUCUUUGUCACGUUGCUCCGCCACUAUGGGGAGCAGACGAAGCCUUUGGCGUUUCAGUUCCUAUCGAUCUUCUGCAACAACCGGAGUCGACCCGAGCCUGAACCUUCUGCUGGGUCAUUGUUAUUGUGUGUGAAUGUGUGUGUGUGUGUGUGUGUGUGUGUGUGUGUGUGUGUGUAGCCGAAGAACUGCAGCGUCACUCGUAUCGUUACCUCACUCGACUCGCUCAGGCGGCUUGUUUUUCUCCCUGCAGCUCAACCCUCGCAUCCGCAUUCGACACACUCCCAGUGUUCACGCCCCACCUGCACACUGGGGCCAGACCAUGUCUCAUUGUCCACCAUUAACUCCUAACCAUUUAGAGGAAUAAAACACAACAGUAUGUGGUGAAACGUAUAGUGUGUAUUGUAUACUUUUUUUAGCAAUAUGAACCUGAUGGAAAUGGAGCCCCAAAAAUGCUAAAAUAAUCCAAAAUCUUUGGAUAUUUUUGAGAAUUUUGGGUGAAAGUUGCCCAUUUCAAACCUCUAGCCGUCUCUCUACCUGGUACCAAGCGCAGGGUGAAGCGUACGAAGCUUCGUUUCUCAGGGAAUCAAUCUGAGAAAUUCGCUAUCUGCCCUCUUCCUCAUACACAUGCUCAUGGAUGCAUCUGAUUGGCUGGCGUCUUCAGCAUGAUAGACUUCAUCUCAGGUGUAAAAAAAACAAACAAACAAAAAGUUUUAUUCAAGUAAAUGUUACAGUUACUUCAAUAAAAUUUUACUUUAUAUUGUAGUUCG